rnacentral:rRNA from 9 species
UAAAUUAUUUCAGCAUUAAGGUAUAGCGACGUUGCUUUUUGAUCCUUCGAUGUCGGCUCUUCCUAUCAUUGUGAAGCAGAAUUCACCAAGUGUUGGAUAAGUUUUCAAGUUUUGGGUAAAGAUUCGAUGGACUAUGGAAUAAGGAGUGGCAAGAGCCUAAUCUUGGGGAUGCCCAAGGCACCCCAAGGUAAUAUUCAAGGAUAACCAAGAGCCUAAGCUUGGGGAUGCCCCGGAAGGCA